rnacentral:rRNA from 1 species
UACGUAGGGGGCAAGCGUUGUCCGGAAUCAUUGGGCGUAAAGCGCGUGUAGGCGGUCCGGUAAGUCGGUUGUGAAAGUCCAGGGCUCAACCCUGGGAUGCCGACCGAUACUGUCGGACUAGAGUUCGGAAGAGGCGAGUGGAAUUCCCGGUGUAGCGGUGAAAUGCGCAGAUAUCGGGAGGAACACCGAUGGCGAAGGCAGGUCUCUGGGCUGACACUGACGCUCAUGCACGAAAGCGUGGGGAGCAAACAGG